CGGUGGAGCACGUGGUUUAAUUCGAUGCAAACCGAAGAACCUUACUGGAUUGACAUGUACGUGGUACGGAUAUGAAAGUUGAAGGACUCCGCUUUCGGGUGGAGAGCGUGCACAGGUGCUGCAUGGCUGUCGUCAGCUCGUGUCGUGAGAUGUUGGGUUAAGUCCCGCAGCGAGCGCAACCCCUGCAUUCAGUUGCCAUCGGGUGAAGCCGGGCACUCUGGAAGGACUGCCAUCGACAAGAUGGAGGAAGUGGGGACGACGUCAAGUCAUCAUGGCCCUUAUGUCCAGGGCGACACACGUGCUACAAUGGCCGGCACAACGGGAAGCGAGUUCGCGAGGACGAGCGGAUCCCUUAAAGCCGGUCGCAGUUCGGAUUGAAGUCUGCAACUCGACUUCAUGAAGCUGGAAUCGCUAGUAAUCGCAGAUCAGCCAAGCUGCGGUGAAUACGUUCCCGGGCCUU
rnacentral:rRNA from 1 species